GUGUCAGCAGCCGCGGUAAUACCAGCACCCCGAGUGGUCGGGAUGAUUAUUGGGCCUAAAGCAUCCGUAGCCGGUGUAACAAGUCCUCCGUUAAAUCCACCUGCUUAACAGGUGGGCUGCGGAGGAUACUGUUACACUAGGAGGCGGGAGAGGCGAGGGGUAUUCCACGGGUAGGGGUAAAAUCCUCUGAUCCGUGGAGGACCACCAGUGGCGAAGGCGCCUCGCCAGAACGCGCUCGACGGUGAGGGAUGAAAGCUGGGGGAGCAAACCGGAUUAGAUACCCGGGUAGUCCCAGCCGUAAACGAUGUAGGCUCGGUGAUGGACUGGCUCCGAGCCAGUCCAGUGCCGCAGGGAAGCCGUUAAGCCUACCGCCUGGGGAGUACGGCCGCAAGGCUGAAACUUAAAUGAAUUGACGGGG
rnacentral:rRNA from 1 species